rnacentral:rRNA from 1 species
UUACGGGGGGAACGCGAAGAACCUUACCAGGUCUUGACAUCCUUUGACCAUUCUGGAGACAGAACUUUCCCUUCGGGGACAAAGUGACAGGUGGUGCAUGGUUGUCGUCAGCUCGUGUCGUGAGAUGUUGGGUUAAGUCCCGCAACGAGCGCAACCCUUGAUUUUAGUUGCCAGCAUUUAGUUGGGCACUUUAAAGUGACUGCCGGUGUAAGCCGGAGGAAGGUGGGGAUGACGUCAAAUCAUCAUGCCCCUUAUGACCUGGGCUACACACGUGCUACAAUGGAUAAUACAAAGGGUCGCGAAGCCGCGAGGUGGAGCCAAUCCCAUAAAAUUAUUCUCAGUUCGGAUUGCAGGCUGCAACUCGCCUGCACGAAACCAAAUCGCUUU